rnacentral:rRNA from 1 species
AGUGAACGCUGGCGGUAGGCCUAACACAUGCAAGUCGAACGGCAGCACAGUAAGAGCUUGCUCUUACGGGUGGCGAGUGGCGGACGGGUGAGGAAUACAUCGGAAUCUACUUUUUCGUGGGGGAUAACGUAGGGAAACUUACGCUAAUACCGCAUACGACCUACGGGUGAAAGCAGGGGAUCUUCGGACCUUGCGCGAUUGAAUGAGCCGAUGUCGGAUUAGCUAGUUGGCGGGGUAAAGGCCCACCAAGGCGACGAUCCGUAGCUGGUCUGAGAGGAUGAUCAGCCACACUGGAACUGAGACACGGUCCAGACUCCUACGGGGGGCAGCAGUGGGGAAUAUUGGACAAUGGGCGCAAGCCUGAUCCAGCCAUACCGCGUGGGUGAAGAAGGCCUUCGGGAUGUAAAGCCCUUUUGUUGGGAAAGAAAAGCAGCAGGUUAAUACCCCGCUGUUCCGACGGUACCCAAAGAAUAAGCACCGGCUAACUUCGUG